GGGGGGGGGGGGGGGGGGGGGGGGGGGGGGGGGGGCGGGCGGGGGGGGCGGGCGGGGGUGGGGUGCUGGGGGGGCGGAGGGGUGGGUAACACGUGAGUAACCUGCCCUUGACUUUGGGAUAACUUCAGGAAACUGGGGCUAAUACCGGAUCGGAGCUCCUGCUGCAUGGUGGGGGGUGGAAAGUUUCGGCGGUUGGGGAUGGACUCGCGGCUUAUCAGCUUGUUGGUGGGGUAGUGGCUUACCAAGGCUUUGACGGGUAGCCGGCCUGAGAGGGUGACCGGCCACAUUGGGACUGAGAUACGGCCCAGACUCCUACGGGAGGCAGCAGUGGGGAAUAUUGCACAAUGGGCGGAAGCCUGAUGCAGCAACGCCGCGUGCGGGAUGACGGCCUUCGGGUUGUAAACCGCUUUCGCCUGUGACGAAGCGUGAGUGACGGUAAUGGGUAAAGAAGCACCGGCUAACUACGUG
rnacentral:rRNA from 1 species